GUGGGGAAUAUUGGACAAUGGGCGCAAGCCUGAUCCAGCCAUGCCGCGUGAGUGAAGAAGGCCUUCGGGUUGUAAAGCUCUUUCAGAGGUGACGAUGAUGACGGUAACCUCAGAAGAAGCCCCGGCUAACUUCGUGCCAGCAGCCGCGGUAAUACGAAGGGGGCUAGCGUUGUUCGGAAUUACUGGGCGUAAAGCGCGCGUAGGCGGUGUGCAUAGUCAGGGGUGAAAUCCCGGGGCUCAACCUCGGAAUUGCCUUUGAUACUGGCACGCUUGAAUCCGUGAGAGGGUGGUGGAAUGACCAGUGUAGAGGUGAAAUUCGUAGAUAUUGGUCGGAACACCAGUGGCGAAGGCGGCCACCUGGCGCGGUAUUGACGCUGAGGCGCGAAAGCGUGGGGAGCAAACAGGAUUAGAUACCCUUGUAGUCC
rnacentral:rRNA from 1 species